rnacentral:lncRNA from 1 species
ACAAACAUGAUACAAACACAUAAACAAACACACUUAACACAUACAACAUACAGCUCUGCACAUCCCUUUUUUACUUCAUGAAUGGUUCCAACCAUGACGCUUUCAAUCAAGAUUUUUCCCAAAGAAAGUUGAUUAUAUAUAUCUCAUCAAUAACCGUUGACAAGUGCUGAUAAAAAUAAUAAUUAUAAGCAACUUAUUUAAUCUUCGAAUCAAUAGUAGCCACUUAUCCUACAAGGUUAUUGACGUAUAGUGUUUUAUUCCUUGUGAAUUGUUUAUCUUUGGAUAAUAGUAAUGAGGAUGUAUUUUG